rnacentral:rRNA from 1 species
CCCUUAGAUGUUCUGGGCCGCACGCGCGCUACACUGAUGCAUUCAACGAGUCUAAAACCUGGUCUGAUAGGGCUGGGUAAUCUUUUGAAUGUGCAUCGUGAUUGGGAUAGAUGAUUGCAAUUCUUCAUCUUCAACGAGGAAUGCCUAGUAAACGCAAGUCAUCAGCUUGCAUUGAUUACGUCCCUGCCCUUUGUACACACCGCCCGUCGCUCCUACCGAUCGAAGAGUUAGGUGAAUUGUUUUGAUCGAUAAGAUUUGACUAUGGUCAACUCUCGUUGUGAAAUUCUGUGAACCUGACUGUUUAGAGGAAGGAAAAGUCGUAACA